CGGAUCGCGGCGACGUGGGUGGUUCGCCGCCGAUGACGUCGCGAGAAGUCCACUGAACCUUAUCAUUUAGAGGAAGGAGAAGUCGUAACAAGGUUUCCGUAGGUGAACCUGCGGAAGGAUCAUUG
rnacentral:rRNA from 1 species